UCAUUGGUUAAGAACAAAUUGGUUGAUUUAACAAAGAUAUUGGUUAACUUUAAUAACAGAUUGGUUGAAAAAUGACUAAUAUCAUUGGUUAAGCAAAUGUUAACCAAGAGAUUGGUAACUGACGCAGGUCUGACGCUCAACGUCAAGUACGUAACUCUGCUUCUCAAUUUUCUGACAAAGCCGCCAUCUUGGUGCUGCAGGAAAGCCGUUUGAGAUAUUGAUGAAAUUCAAACACUUUGUGAGAUGACAGAAUAUUGCUGAAGGAUCCUACAUGGAAGCUGGCUGAUUACACGUGAUUCCUCUGGUGUGGUGUACCUCAGAGAAAUAAACACUGUUGCAAGAGCUGAGAAGAUGGCCAAGAUAUCCUUAUUGCUGGAUGGUAGCUCUGGUCGUAGUGGACCAUAUCUGCAAAUGCUUCUGAACAUUGACAGAAUUUCUAAAGAUGACUGAGAAUAUUACUGAAGGAUCCUACAUGGAAGCUGUCUGAUUACACUGAGUGAUUCCUCUGGUGUGGUGUACCUCAGAGAAAAUAAACACUGUUGCAAGAGCUGAGAAGAUAUCCUUAUUGCUGGAUGGUUGCUCUCUGGUCGUACUUGAGCCCCCUGGACCAUGUCUGCAAAUGCUUCUGAACAUUGACAGAAUUUCUAAAGGAUCGCUGAGGACUCAGAAUUUCCACGCUUUCUGGAGAUGCCAAGUUUGACUGGAACCAACUUUGCAUCCCUCGGCACUGACACUGAGAAGGUUUCAAGGACCCUACUACUAGGAGGCGAGAGUUUGACACGGCAGUUUCAUCACUGCCAUGGAUGACAACGUAACCAUUCCUGUUGCUGAUUGCCUGACUUGCGCAGUGACAAGCUUUUCAUGCUCUACUGGGUGUGUAACUUGGCAUAUCCACCACAGUUUAACUCUGUUUUUGCCUCUUUUGAAUAUUUGUACGAUAUAACCAUCUCAACCAACAAGUGGGCCAAGGUACUGGAACAUUUCUCACUUCAAGUUGCUCUGUAGUCACUGGACAUUUUUUUAAACAUCUACGCAGACACCACCACUCCACACCAUGUGUAUUUUAAUUACUUCUGAUUCCACUGACAUGCAGACUACAUCCUAUGCAAAUUCAGGUAAUUUACCUGGUACUGGAGAAACAGCAUUGUAUGCCAUUCUAAGUGAUACUUGCCUCCUUGUUUUGCAAAAAUGUACUGUUCUUUGAAUAUAACUUAAAGUAAGAUCAUUUUGACUCUGAGGUUUUCUCCGGUUGUCAAGCACAACCUUAACAUUUUGUAAGUAAAUAAUAGUCACAGGAUAUGCAUGCAUUUGUAAUUUGAAUUUUCGUUGAAAACGGCUCACCAAGCAUAAAAUGUUACCUCUGCUUUUGAUUUUUCUUUUUUUUUAAAUGUC